UUUACCAGACAGCACUGGAGACCGUCGUGACCCCGUUGACCCAGAAGUACUUUAACUUCGGGGAGUUGGAGAACAGCAUCAUUUACUGCAUCUGUAGUGUGGAGGUGAUCACAGGCUUCCUGUUUGUCCACUGGCUGUGCCGCCACACGACCGAGAGGGUGUUGCUGGCCGUGGGCCUUAUCCUCUGCCACAUCUCCUGCGUAUGGUGCCUCAUCUUCCUGGCCAACCCACAGGGUAAUUUCUCCUGGCAGUUAGCAGAGUUCAUCAUUGGGGUGU